ACAGCUGCUCAAUUAAGGGUUUUAGUGGAUUACAUGGCGGCAGACUCACAGGGCCCAACAAUUGGAAAAAGUAUGGAUUGCCCUCACUUCUAAAUUAGAAAACCAUGAUCCUAAACACUAAAAUUAUGGAAGCAUGGACUUCUAAUAGAGCGGAAAGGAGGAAAUAUGGGAUAGAUCGGUUGUUAUAAUUUGUCAUGAAUUUGAGUUAAGUCAUAAGUAUAUUUGGAAUAUGACCAGUCCAAGGAAGUGAUGUAAUAUGUGUUUUAUCAACAAGUAGGUUCACCCAUACCAGCGCCUUAAAAGUCCAUAUCAGUUUGGAACGGAACAGGAUCUUUUGUGAUGUACCUAAUGAAAUUAGCUGUAAAAUAAAAUAGUGUAUUUAAAAUAAUAUAAGUAUAAGAUAUGUAUGCUUGUGAGUCAUGUUAUGAAACAAGUUUAAAUAAUUAGAAAUAAAUACAGAUG